GUUCUACUACGGCGUUGGUGACUGCCAAUAGUGUUUUAUGAUCUAUGCCUUUUGAAUAAGGGAGCUUAAUCACGUUCGAUGGCAGUAAACCGGGCAUGACCCGGAAACUUAAAAUCGGGCUUACGUUCCCACCUGGAUUUUCCAGGUCAAAAACUGAGGUAAGACGGCGUUGUGGGGGACUU
rnacentral:other from 3 species